CCUACGGGUGGCAGCAGUGGGGAAUAUUGGGCAAUGGGCGCAAGCCUGACCCAGCAACGCCGCGUGAAGGAAGAAGGCCCUCGGGUUGUAAACUUCUUUUAACAGGGACGAAGAAAGUGACGGUACCGGUUGAAUAAGCAACGGCUAACUACGUGCCAGCAGCCGCGGUAAUACGUAGGUGGCAAGCGUUAUCCGGAUUUACUGGGUGUAAAGGGCGGGUAGGCGGGAGAGCAAGUCAGACGUGAAAUUCCAGGGCUCAACCCUGGAACUGCGUUUGAAACUGUUCUUCUUGAGUGAUGGGGAGGCAGGCGGAAUUCCGUGUGUAGCGGUGAAAUGCGUAGAUAUACGGAGGAACACCAGUGGCGACGGCGGCCUGCUGGACAUUAACUGACGCUGAGGCGCGAAAGCGUGGGGAGCAAACAGGAUUAGAUACCCCUGUAGUC
rnacentral:rRNA from 1 species